GUGUUUUAACUUCUUCCUUCCCCUUCUUGAUAUUUCCUAUUUAUCUUCCAUGAGGUUUAUAUGAGUAAAACCGCUGAAUUCACUAUCUUGGCUCCCCAAAUACUGCUACUUGCUUCCAAUACCCACACUUGUUGUAACACCUUUAUUUUUCUUGUUUUCAAAAACAUUCUCAAGAAUUUUUGCAACAAAAAAUUAAGUUUUGGAAACGAGUUGUGCAAUUACUUUAGAUUUAGC
rnacentral:misc_RNA from 1 species